rnacentral:rRNA from 1 species
CAAUAGCGUAUAUUUAAGUUGCUGCAGUUAAAAAGCUCGUAGUUGGAUUUCGGGUGGGAAUGGCCGGUCCGCCGUUCCGGUGUGCACUUGCUACGCCCACCUUGCUGCCGGGGACGUGCUCUUGAGUUCACGCUCGGGACACGGAGUCGGCGAGGUUACUUUGAGUAAAUUAGAGUGUUCAAAGCAGGCCUACGCUCUGAAUACAUUAGCAUGGAAUAACACGAUAGGACUCUGGCCUAUCUUGUUGGUCUGUAGGACCGGAGUAAUGAUUAAGAGGGACAGUCGGGGGCAUUCGUAUUUCAUUGUCAGAGGUGAAAUUCUUGGAUUUAUGAAAGACGAACUACUGCGAAAGCAUUUGCCAAGGAUGUUUUCAUUAA